UCCAGCACCAAUAGCGUAUAUUAAUGCUGCUGCUGUUAAAAAGCUCGUAGUUGGAUCAAGAGUACAACAGUGCAAGGUGGCCUCAUUGCGUCAGUGGCUCCGGUCGCUGGCGCGGUGGCGGAUCUAACCCCUUGCAUUAAACUGUUGUCUCUAACAGGCCGAAGCGGUUCCCUGUGAGUAGGCCACUUCAUUGGGGCUGAAAGCGAUUACGCAUUUACCACAUGCAUACGGGACGUCGGCCAAAGUUACUGUGAACAAACCAGCGUGUCCAAAACAGGCUUUCGCCUGAAUGUUCGAGCAUGGAAUAACAAAGGAUCGAUUCUCUCGGUUCUUUUUGUUGGUUUUUAACCCGAGAAGGAGUAAUUCAGGCCACGGUGUCUGGGCUGGGUUCCCCUAGGCUUCGUGCUUAGGCCCCAGUUAGGCCGUGUUCUUACGGGAUAAAUAGGGACUGACGGGGUCGUACGUACUUCCACGUCAGAGGUGAAAUUCUUAGAUCGUGGGAAGACGAACUUCUGCGAAAGCAUUCGACAAGAAUGUCUUCAUUAAUCAAGAACGAGAGUGUGGGGAUCGAAGAUGAUCAGAUACCGUCGUAGUCCACUACUGUAAACAAUGCCGUCUCAGGAUUGAGAAGUGAACCUAAUGACUUUCACAGCACUAACCCCUGAAACGAGAAAUCAAAGAUUAUGGGUUCAGGGGGGAGUACAUUCGCAAGGCUGAAACUUAAAGGAAUUGACGGAAUGACACCACAAGGCGUGGAGUAUGCGGCUUAAUUUGACUCAACACGGGGAAUUUUACUAGGUCAGGACAAUGUAAGGAUUGACAGAUUGAGAGCUCUUUCUCGAUCCAUUGUGUGGUGGUGCAUGGCCGCUCCUGGUUGGUGGAGUGAUUUGUCUGGUUGAUUCCGUUAACGAACGAGAUCUCGACCCUUAAAUAGGUGCCCGUGUCGAUCGUAGUUUCGCCUCCGCCCGGCUUGCCGAGAUUGGAGCGGGACGAGACUGCGGGAAUACUUCUUAAGGGGACUGUGUGCGUCUCUAGCACGCGGAAGAGCGAGCCAAUAGC
rnacentral:rRNA from 1 species